rnacentral:rRNA from 1 species
AGAUUGAACGCUGGCGGCAGGCCUAACACAUGCAAGUCGAGCGGCAGCACGGGUACUUGUACCUGGUGGCGAGCGGCGGACGGGUGAGUAAUGCCUAGGAAUCUGCCUGAUAGUGGGGGAUAACGUUCGGAAACGGACGCUAGUACCGCAUACGUCCUACGGGAGAAAGUGGGGGAUCUUCGGACCUCACGCUAUCAGAUGAGCCUAGGUCGGAUUAGCUAGUUGUAGGGUAAAGCCUACCAAGGCUACGAUCCGUAACUGGUCUGAGAGGAUGAUCAGUCACACUGGAACUGAGACCACGGUCCAGACUCCUACGGGAGGCAGCAGUGGGGAAUAUGGACAAGUGGGACGAAAGCCUGAUCCAGCCAGUGCCGCGUGUGUAGAAGGAAGGUCUUCGGAUUAGUAAAGCUAACGUUUUAAGGUUGGGAAGGAAGG